CCGUUGCUAGGCUUACGUUGUAGUGAUUACAGUUCCUUUAGGUCCAUAGUUAACAGCUGUUUUGUUUCUGGGUUCAAAGCCUUGGCUUCCUUCUCCUCUGGAUCUGUGGAGGAAUAUGAGCAUGGAAUGUGGCUCCUGCCUGCUGCCUUUCCCUGUAGGGCUUGUAAUAAAGGAUGUAUUAUAUAUUAUAGGAUUUCCACAGCAUCUACAUUGGGAGCGAAGGCAGCUGACUCUAGGCUGGACUAACUUCUGUGUAAGUUCGGGCAGGAUCCCCACGCAACAUUAUCUCCAGAUUUCCAUUCCUUCUUGUAUACACUGUAGCUGGUAAACCAAUAGAUGCUGUCGGUGAUCCCUUUAACUUCGAAGCUCCACAACACACAUUCUCUUUAAAGGCCAUGGCAGGUGCCACAUAAUACCUAUUUCACUUUUGUAAUAACUCAGUUGCAUAGUGUGGCAGCAGCUGCACUUUGGAACUCCCUGCCUCUUGAGAUCAAGCAGGUACCUGCCCAAAACAUUCCUGUUUAGACAAACCUACCCAGAUGCUUAGAAAGUUCAGGUAAUUUUAAUUGGUUUUAGUAUUUUAACUUUAAAGGUAAAGGUACCCCUGCCCGUACGGGCCAGUCUUGCCAGACUCUAGGGUUGUGCGCUCAUCUCACUCUAUAGGCCGGGAGCCAGCGCUGUCCGCAGACACUUCCGGGUCACGUGGCCAGCGUGACAAGCUGCAUCUGGCGAGCCAGCGCAGCACACGGAACGCCGUUUACCUUCGAACUGCUAGGUUGGCAGGCGCUGGGACCGAACGACGGGAGCGCACCCCACCGCGGGGAUUCGAACCGCCGACCAUGUGAUCGGCAAGUCCUAGGCGCUGAGGUUUUACCCACAGCGCCACCCGCAUCCCUCCAUUUUAACUUUAGUAUGUUUUAAAUUCUUCCUGAGUUUACUGUUUUUAUUUUCUGUAAUCCACUUUUAGGGAUUUUUAUUUUGGGGUGUUUUUUUUGCAAUUAAGCUGUUUAUAAAUUUUGUAAGUCAUAAUAAAUCAGUAACGAUGUUCCAGCCAUAUUUGCCCUCAACUGCUCACUUCCAUGUGAAGUCAUGGGAUGAGGUAUAGCAGGGAUAUCCAACCGGUUGAUCCAGCCGAUUGCGAGACCCUGAUGGCCCCCCCAAAAAAGCUCAACAACUUCAGUUGAUCAUCCCCCCAAAAGCUCAACAACUCUUCCCCCCAAAAAAGCUAAACAACUCUGGUCAAUCCAAUGGGGACAUCACUGCCAUUUUUUUUAUAUAUAGUGGGAGUAGAUCACAGUCUCUUAGAAGUUGGACGUGCCUGAGGUAGGGUUGCCAUAUUUUGAAAAGCAGAAAAGAGAACGCUAUGAUGGCCGUUCAAAGCAAAUACAGUGGUACCUCGGGUUACAGACGCUUCAGGUUACAGACUCUGCUAACCCAGAAAUAGUACCUCGGGUUAAGAACUUUGCUUCAGGAUGAGAACAGAAAUCACGUGGCGGCGGCAGCGGGAGGCCCCAUUAGCUAAAGUGGUACCUCAGGUUAAGAACAGACCUCCAGAACGAAUUAAGUUCUUAACCUGAGGUACCACUGUAAAUGCAAUUUGUCUCAAAUUUUACCCCUGAAAGAGAGGGUUUGUCCUGGAAAAAGAGGACACAUGGCAACCCUAGAAGGGCUCUGCCAACUGCAUCAAUUGCUGUUAACACCAGGGAGAGACUUCCUUUUUAAAGCCAUUUAUAUUUGUUUUAGGAGUGAGCUGGAGAAAGUGACUGAAGUGUGUAAUGGGCAAAUCAGAGGCUAUGCAAUGACCUACUGAAGGGAGAGGGAAGGGUUGCUUUCUAUAUGCUUUCUAUACCUUGUACCUUGUACCUAAGAAGGAUCUUCUAUAUUCUCUGUACUUUGGAUCUAAGUAAAUUUCUGAGCUAAUUUGACUUCUGCAAAAGAGGCCCCUCGCUUUCUUAUUUUAGGAAUGCAAGAUAAGAAAGACACAUAUGAAGGAGACUGUAAGCUAGAAAUAACCAGAGGCCCCUCGCUUUCUUACUUUAGGAAUGUAAGAUAAGAAAGACACAUACGAGGGAGACGGGAGGAGGGGAUGCAGGACGCUUAGAAAGACACGUAUAGGGAAAAUAGGGAGGGGGGGCUGCAUAGAGGGCUAGCAUUAUAGAUAUGCCAUGCCAUAUAAAAAAAAUAAGUUAAAAACUUUCCAGUUGAUUGGGGAAGUUUUUGGAGGGCGUUUGGGGGAGGAGGGAGGGAGCUUUCUCAAGGUAUAAGAAAGUCUGCAGAGGCGUAUUUCUGGGCAGCCAGUCUUCCAGAAGUUAUUCUGCUGGCUGUCACUGUGCACAGAGAAUAAACUGUUUUCCUCCAAAGAAGGAUCUUUCCUGGUGCUUUCUUUGCUCUCUCUCUGGAUCUGAGGACGCGGGCCAACGAUUCCCUGGCAUGGACUAGGCUCAGCCUACAUCUUGGUUCCCUGACCGGGAAUCUGCCCCACCUCAGAGGGCUGGGGAGAGCCAGGCUCGACCUUGGUGGACAGCUCGGAUCGGCAAUUGCAGGCUCCACGCGCACCCUGCCAAUUUGUGGGGGGAGCCAGCCACACCGCUCCGGAGCAAGGACCCAGGUCGAGGGAGGAAAGAGGACUGGCCAGGGAAGGGAAUCUGCAGCAGAAAACGGUAAGCCCAAGGGAAAGGGCGUGGGCGUGAGCCCAAGGGAAAAGAGGGAGGCCUGAUCAGCCUCACCUGGUUAUGCAGUAGAGUGCAGCCAGGAAGGAAAAAAAAAAAAGGGGCGUGGCAGUGGUGUGCCACCGGUAAGGUUUGGUAAAAAAAAAAAAAAAAAAAAAAAAGGGGGGGAACAGAGGGGAAAAUUAUUUUGGUGUGUUUUGUGUAUUACAUGUUGAAAUUAUUUUGGUGUGUUUUGUGUAUUGCAUGCUGAAAUUAUUUUGGUGUGUCUAGUGUGUUACAUGUUGAAAUUAUAUUGAUGUGUUUUGUAUGUUGUAUGUUGCAUGUCAGAUACUCUAGUGACUGAAUUGUCAAGUGUGGGCCAGGGCUUAGUGUCCCCCUUGGCCGAGCGAUUGUAGGGCUGUAGUGUGUGUAGAGUGAAAGAAUUUACAACCUGUUAGCAGCAGAGUAUCUGAAAAUGGGGUCUGGGGCAAGCCAAUGUAGUCCUCUGGAAUGUUUUUAAACAACUGGAAAGCAGCCACAAAGCAUGAUGAUUGGGGAAUCAAAUUGAGGCAACGGAGGAUGAGAACAUUAUGUGAGGUUGACUGGCCCUCGCAACAAACUAACUGGCCCUCGGAGGGGAGCUUCGAUUUGCAACUAAUCAACCCACUGUAUCGAAAUAUCUUGAACGUCCACCCAGACCAGAUCCCCUACAUUUCUACUUGGAAAACCAAUGUAGAAAAGAACCCAUCGUGGUUGAAAGCCUGCCGAGGCGACGCCCACAAAGUACAGUUUGUGCAGUUCGACCGACAGGGAAGUCAGAAAAGCCCCCAGUGAUACCAGACCCAGAAGAAGAGGAGGGGGAAGUCAUUAAACCACCUCCACCCUAUGCUCCACCAACUGCCCCUCCCCUGGACCCAGGCCCCCAGGCACCGGGAGGAGCUAGCCCCCAGCCUGAACCCCCCAAGGCUAAUGAAUCAGAAGAAGAAGAAGACGAUGAUGAGGAAUUUGUAAAGGGAUUGGUUGAGUUAGCAAAGAAGGGAAGAGAGUGGACUCAGUAUCAGUCUUUGAGAUUGCAACAGUAUGUACAACCCUAUGCAGAAGAAGUGGAUGUUAGCCCCACGUGUUGGCUGCAGCAGGAUGCUCCUCAACACAAGGGAAGAAAUGGCAGAGGGAAUGGAUAGAAGCAGCAACCAGGGCAGCCUUCCAUAAGUCCCAUGAGGCACAGAAAAAGGGUGGGGUCGGAGUAAUGCCCCUCCGAAGGGUUUAUGACCCACCAGGACCUCCAGGGACUAAUGGAGCAGCAGCAGAACGGACCUAUACGGUCCAGCAUAUACCCUUUUCAAGUGCAGAUGUCUGUAACUGGAGAAAUCAAAACCCAUCUUUUGAGGAAAACCCAGCGAAGAUCAUAAAGCUGUUUGAAGGGAUUUUUAAAACUUAUAAUCCCACCUUUGAUGAUGUGCAGUAUUUGAUGGAUGCGCUGCUAACCACAGAAGAAACUAGGCGAAUCCAUGCUGAAGCCCGAGCACACCUGAGAGCGCAGGGAGUGCAGGAUCCAGCUAUGGCAGCAGGAUAUCCAGAAAACACCCCGAAUUGGAAUUAUCAGACUGUUGAUGGCCAGAACAUCCUCACUACCUACCGCCAGAAUGUGUUAAAUGGUAUGAGAAGGGCAGCUAGGAAACCCACCAACUUUGUGAAGGUUAGAGAGGUAGUGCAGGGGAAUGAAGAGGCCCCAGGAGCAUAUUUAGAACGCCUGAAGGAAGCCUACCGCCAGUAUACUCCUGUGGACCCAGAUGAGGCUGCCUUUGUGGCCCAAGCGGCGCCCGAUGUCCGCCGAAAGAUUCAAAAACACGAGGGGUUCAUGGGCCACACCCUUGAGUGGAUGUUAGAACUGGCUCAAACCACUUAUAAUCAGAGGGAGGAAGAGGCACAAAAGAAAAAGGAGAAGUAUCAAGCAAAGAAGUUGAUGGCGCUACAGGCUACCGCACCCACCCCUCAGGAAAGAGGAAGUGCCCGGGGAGGAGGGCAAGGCCGUCUGGGGAGGAACCAGUGCGCCAUCUGCCGGCAGGAAGGGCACUGGAAAAGAGAAUGCCCACAAGCUCACUCAGGUGGAGGAGGACGAGGAGAGCGAAUCCCAGGCCCAAUCCCCGUGGGACCUGGACAAGAACUGAGACCUUGGACAUCUGCAAAUACAGGCAGGGGUAGAGGACGUGGACAGGGACCUCCCUGGCACCCUCCAGCCCAAAGACAGCCCGCCGCGAUGAGCCUGAGAGAGGAGGAGGAAGAAUACUAGGACAGACCGGGCCCAGCUGAUUUAGGUUCCCGUGAGCCCAUGGUCAAAAUACAAACAGGGAACCGAACCAUCCCCUUCAUGGUUGACACAGGAGCCGCCCACUCUGUUUUGCCAGUACCAGUGUCCAAGCCCACCAAGCAAACAAUUAACAUAAUAGGAGCUACAGGCAAAUCACAAAGAGCCCCCUUCUUGCAAUCUGUUGCCUGUCGCCUGGGCGGCCAAGUGGUCCAACACAAGUUUUUGUAUAUACCAGAGUGUCCCAUCCCAUUGUUGGGCCGAGACCUGCUAUCAAAAUUGCAAGCCCAGAUUUCCUUCCAACCGACAGGAGAAGUGACAAUGACUACAGGGCAAGCAGGAGAGUUCUCCUUAGAGGUACCCUUGAGGGAACACUGGCGCUUAAUGAUGGUAGAAGAAGAGGAGGGGAUUAUUCCAGAAGACCUCCUGCAAGAAGUUAACCCUGGUGUAUGGGCAGAAAGCAACCCGCCCGGAAUGGCAAAGAACAUCCCACCUAUAAUAGUCAAGCCCAAGCCAUUCGCCAACCCUGUGGCUGUGAACCAAUAUCCUAUCCCCGAAGAGCUGCGGAAGGAGUAUGGGUACAUUUGGAACGGUUACUUCGCCAUGGCAUCCUGAGGCAGUGUCAAUCUCAGUGGAACACCCCACUCUUGCCGGUGAAGAAGGAAGAUGGCUCGUACCGCCCGGUCCAAGACCUUAGAUUAGUCAACCAGGCCGUGGAGACCCUCCACCCCAAUGUGCCCAAUCCUUACACGCUGUUGAGUCUAAUACCUCCCACCGCAUGUUAUUUCACCGUAUUGGACUUGAAGGAUGCAUUCUUCUGUUGCCGCCUGGCAGAAGAAAGUCAGCCCCUGUUUGCAUUUCAAUGGACAGAUCCGGGAACAGGCACCAGGGUGCAAUACACGUGGACGAGGCUUCCACAAGGCUUCAAGAAUUCUCCAACCCUUUUGGGGUUGCAUUGGCCUCGGACCUGUCUAGCUUCCCCACCAGUCCGCGCAGAGUCUUGAUGCAGUACGUGGAUGAUCUUCUUUUGGCCUGUUCAGACGAGAGCACGUGUAUGGAGGCCACCAAGGACUUGUUAAAUCACCUGGCUGAAGCAGGAUACCGAGUAUCUAAGAAAAGGCCCAGAUAUGUCAACCCACCGUGAAAUACCUUGGAUUUGAUAUAUCCCAUCAGCGACGGACCCUAAGGGAAGAAAGGAAGCAAGCCAUCAUCCAGAUUCCAGAGCCAAAGAAUCGCAGGGAACUUCGCGGCUUUCUGGGCUCAGCAGGAUUCUGUAGAAUAUGGAUACCAGACUACAGCACAAUUGCCAAGCCUCUGCAUGAGUCAACCAGAGGAACUGAAAAGGACCCCUUUGUGUGGGGAGAAGAGCAACAGCAUGCCUUCAAGGAUCUGAAAAGGCAUUGCAGCAAGCACCAGCGCUGGGCAUCCCAAAUCCUGAGAAGCCUUUCUCCCUAUUUGUGGAUGAAGACCAGGGAACAGCAAAGGGAGUGCUAUGCCAAAAAUUGGGAAGCUGGCAGCAGCCCGUGGCAUACCUAUCUGAGCGCCUGACGCCUACAGAACAAGGUUUACCGCCAUGCAUGAGAGCAGUAGUGGCAGUAGCCACCCUACUGCACAAAGCAGACAAAUUUACUUUUGGCCAAGACACUGUUUGUGUGACCCCGCAUGCAGUCCCAGCUCUGCUUGACAUGAAGGGUACCUAUUUCCUCUCCCAAGCAAAAAUGAGAAAGUGCCAGAUGCUAUUGUUGCACCCGCGUUUGAAGUUCCAGGUUACCACCGCCCUCAACCCAGCUACCCUGUUGCCGGUAGGAGAAGGUGAGGAGCAGAUGCACGAUUGCAUUGAAGUGAUGGAUGAAGUAUAUUCCAGCAGACCUGACCUAAAAGAUGAGGCAAACCCCCACUGGCCUUCAUGGUUUGUAGAUGGAAGCAGCUUUGUUGAGACUGGACAGCGGAAGGCAGGCUAUGCAGUGGUUGCCCUGGAAGACCAGGUGAUCGAAGCAAAGUCACUCCCACCUGGAACAUCGGCCCAGCUGGCAGAGCUAACUGCGCUUACCAGAGCCCUGAGCCUGGCAAAGGGACAGAAGAUAAACAUUUAUACAGAUUCUAAGUAUGCAUUCCUGACUUUACAUGCCCAUGGAGCCUUAUGGAAAGAAAGAGGUUUGCUUACCUCCAGAGGAAGCCAGGUGGCCCACCCACAAGCCUUAUUGAACCUUCUGGAUGCUGUAUGGGAGCCCGAGGCAGUGGCAGUUAUCCAUUGUUAUGGACACAAGACUGGACCAGGGGAAGUGGCCAGAGGAAACCGAUUGGCAGACAGAGUAGCCAAGGAAGCAGCCCAAGAACUGGCCCCCGCCUCGGUUAUUGGAGCACUGGUCCCAGAAGAGAUUUUAAGCACUACUGACAAGCCAGCUUAUACGAAGCAGGAAAGGGACACUGCAGACGCUCAGGGGUUGACGUUGUCCAACGAAGGAUGGUACCUUACCCCUGAUGACAGGAUAUGGAUUCCAGAGUCCCUUUCUCGGCAGGUUACUCAGAGAUACCAUGAUUCAACCCACAUAGGACCAGAUGCUACAACCAAGCAGCUGGAAAAAUGCUUCUAUAUAGCCCACCUUUACCAACUGGCAGCCCAGAUCUCCAGGAAAUGCCUGCUGUGUCAAAAGAAUAAUCCCAGAGCCGGACCACUGGCUCCCCCAGGGAUUCAGCACAGUGGAACUGCACCUAUGGAAGAUCUUGUCGUGGACUUUACUGAAUUACCCCGUUGUGGACUGCACCGCUACCUGCUGGUAGCAGUGUGCACCUACACCGGAUGGGUUGAAGCAUGGCCCACAAAGACUGAAAAGGCACUUGAAGCAACCAGGUGCCUGCUUAGGGAAAUCAUCCCUCGCUAUGGACUGCCAAGGUCCAUAGGAUCUGACAAUGGACCAGCAUUUGUUCAUGCAGUCCUACAGGGACUGGCAAAAGCGCUCCAGAUCAACUGGAAGCUGCAUACUGCUUAUAGACCCCAGAGUUCUGGAAAAGUAGAGAGGAUGAACAGAACUCUAAAGAAUCAGCUGUCCAAGCUGACACAGGAGACCGGGU